UGGGGUGUCGCCAAGCGGUAAGGCAAGGGACUUUGGAUCCCUCAUUCGGAGGUUCGAAUCCUCCCACCCCAGCCA
rnacentral:tRNA from 1 species